GACGAACGCUGGCGGCGUGCUUAACACAUGCAAGUCGAACGGAAAGGCCCUGCUUUUGUGGGGUGCUCGAGUGGCGAACGGGUGAGUAACACGUGAGUAACCUGCCCUUGACUUUGGGAUAACUUCAGGAAACUGGGGCUAAUACCGGAUAGGAGCUCCUGCUGCAUGGUGGGGGUUGGAAAGUUUCGGCGGUUGGGGAUGGACUCGCGGCUUAUCAGCUUGUUGGUGGGGUAGUGGCUUACCAAGGCUUUGACGGGUAGCCGGCCUGAGAGGGUGACCGGCCACAUUGGGACUGAGAGACGGCGCAGACUGCUACGGGAGGCAGCAGUGGGGAGUAUUGCACAAUGGGCGGAAGCCUGAUGCAGCAACGCCGCGUGCGGGAUGACGGCCUUCGGGUUGUAAACCGCUUUCGCCUGUGACGAAGCGUGAGUGACGGUAAUGGGUAAAGAAGCACCGGCUAACUACGUG
rnacentral:rRNA from 1 species